UCAAAAGACUCCACUCAAAUCCUUUAUCUUUCGCAGCAGUAAUGGAGUGCUGCAUUCUAAAAAACAUCCCUUAAUCAUUUACAUAUUCAUUCUUUCUAUCUUUCUCCUCUUAAUUCCUUGUCUUUCUUACCAUUCCAUCUCGUUUCAUCAUAUACCAGUACACCCACAUAUAUAUAUAUAUAUACCCACACACCCACAUAUACAUAUAUACAUACAGAGUUCCCGCAGUGUAUCAUGGUAUCAAUAAUUUAAACAGGAGGAGGAAGGAUCAGAGCUGGCGGCGCCGGUGAAGAAAAGUUGCACUGCUUUGGUGUGCUCUUGCUAUGUCUCCUCAAGAAAUAUUAACGGCAGAGAUAAUCAAGAAAUCGUCAGUAGAAACGUCAAGAUCAAGCAGUCUUGUGGAGAAAACAAAGAUUAUUUGGGUAAUCAGUGCAAUGGCGACGGAGAUGACGGUAACGGCAACGGCAAUGAUUCUAAUGGGUUCCACUGUCACGUUGAAAGCCCCCCCAUCAACCUCAAGAGUAAUCUGAAGAAGAAAAGUAGUGGUAAGUUGCAGGAGAAUGAAGUCAAGAGUCGUAGGGCAGGAGAAAGAAGAAAAGUAAGCUGGUCAGAUGCCCACGGCAAAGACAUUGCUCAUGUACACGAGUUCGAACACAGUGUGUCAGAAGAUGGAGAACUUGGAGUAGCUGUAAGCAGCAAUUCUUGCAUUUGCAGUAUCCAAUGAAAUUGAGAACAUCUCUAGAGAUCAAGAUGGCAAUAUCCAGAUCCAGAUCUCGAUCCACAAGAGGGUUGCGAAUAGAAUGC